AAAUUGGAUCCGAAAAUUUACAUCGUGAAUAUCGAUUAUGUUGACACGUGGGUGUGGUAGGUGAGAUCCGCCGGAACCGAGUAGCGGAGUAGCAGACCGUCGGACGGAGGAACCGAGAUACUGUUUGUGCAGGCUGGAAGUUCUGGGCGCCCAGAUCUUGAGUUUUUCUGCAACAGUGUAGGUUAGCAGUUUUUGUUCCUGGGGUUUAUUGGACCAUUCUAACUCCCUAUAAAUAGAUUGUAUUCGACCCCAGUAAGCUAUUUUCAACCCCUCUUCACAGUGAACCCUUAAUUUGCAUUUCAACCCCUCUAAACUUCCCAAAUUACUCAAAUUCCACAAUUUGAAGCUAGAGGACUGCAGUUUCAGCAGAUUUCCAGCAGCGAGCUUCGGCGUUUUGGCUCGUGUGCGACGUAGGAGACUCCGUUU
rnacentral:lncRNA from 1 species